UACAGAGGGGGCAAGCGUUGUUCGGAAUCACUGGGCGUAAAGGGUGCGUAGGCGGGUUUUUAAGUCAGGGGUGAAAUCCUGGAGCUCAACUCCAGAACUGCCUUUGAUACUGAAGAUCUUGAGUCCGGGAGAGGUGAGUGGAACUGCGAGUGUAGAGGUGAAAUUCGUAGAUAUUCGCAAGAACACCAGUGGCGAAGGCGGCUCACUGGCCCGGUACUGACGCUGAGGCACGAACGCGUGGGGAGCAAACAGG
rnacentral:rRNA from 1 species